rnacentral:rRNA from 1 species
AAACUUUCAACAACGGAUCUCUUGGUUCUGGCAUCGAUGAAGAACGCAGCGAAAUGCGAUAAGUAAUGUGAAUUGCAGAUUUCAGUGAAUCAUCGAAUCUUUGAACGCACAUUGCGCCCGCCAGUAUUCUGGCGGGCAUGCCUGUUCGAGCGUCAUUU